GAGCAAUUAAUUCAAUAAUGGUAGAAUAGUUCAUUUACAUUGAAAAAGUUAUUGGUUCAAAUCCGAUAUUGCUUA
rnacentral:tRNA from 1 species